CCUACGGGAUGCAGCAGUAGGGAAUCUUCCACAAUGGGCGAAAGCCUGAUGGAGCAACGCCGCGUGGGUGAAGCAGGUCUUCGGAUCGUAAAACCCUGUUGUUAGAGAAGAAAGUGCGUGAGAGUAACUGAUCACGUUUCGACGGUAUCUAACCAGAACGCCACGGCUAACUACGUGCCAGCAGCCGCGGUAAUACGUGGGUGGCAAGCGUUAUCCGGAUUUAUUGGGCGUAAAGGGAACGAAGGCGGUCUUUUAAGUCUGAUGUGAAAGCCGUCGGCUUAACCGGAGUAGUGCAGUGGAAACUGGGAGACUUGAGUGCAGAAGAGGAGAGUGGAACUCCAUGUGUCGCGGUGAAAGGCG
rnacentral:rRNA from 1 species